GCAGUAUCCUAACUGUGCUAAGGUAGCAUAAUCAUUAGUCUUUUAAUUGGAGACUGGUAUGAAUGGCUUAACGAGAAAUUGACUUUUUUUACUAUAUAUCUUGAACUUAAUUUUUUAGUGAAAAAGCUAAAAUGCUUCAGAAAGACGAGAAGACCCUAUAGAGUUUUAUAUCAAUUUAUAUUUUCUCUUAAUAGAUUUUAAAAGGGUAAAUUUAAUAAGAUAUUUUGUUGGGGCGACAUUAAGAUAUAAAAAACUCUUUAUUUUCUAAAUUUUUAUGAAAAUAUUAUUUUGACCCUCUAUAAGGGAUCAAAAGAAAAAAUUACCUUAGGGAUAACAGCGUAAUCUUUUUUAAGAGUUCUAAUCGACAAAAAGGUUUGCGACCUCGAUGUUGGACUAAAAUUUAGGCAGGGUGCAGCAGUUCUGCUUUAAGGUCUGUUCGACCUAUA
rnacentral:rRNA from 1 species